rnacentral:tRNA from 2 species
GUCUUCGUGGCGCAAUUGGCUAGCGCGUCUGACUGUUAAUCAGGAGGUUCCUGGUUCGAGCCCAGGCGAGGACG